rnacentral:lncRNA from 10 species
CAGUCUGCCCAGCCUGCCCAACCCUCAGGGAGUCUGGCGAAACUGAACCAGCUCAUGGUUGCUAGAGAAUUGCCUGCUUUCCCAUCUGAACUCCCCACCCUCAGCUGGUAGGGUUUUAGGGUGGGUGUGUAUUUCAGUUUGUCAGAAAGAGAUCAGUUCCUGUGCUGAAAGGCAAGCUCGGGGCAGUAUUUGACAGAGCUGGGGACACCAGGAGGGACAAUGACCAUGAUGAAUUCACGCUUCUCAACAUCUAAGCCUUCGGCACACCCUUUGGUGGAAUUCAAAGUUUCUGCGGAGCAGAGAGCAGUAAUUAACAGUGAGACCUUAUGAUGAGCAAAUCACAGAAGCACAACUCUGAAGUAAGUCACCUAAGGCCACGCAGCUAGGAGAUAAAUGAAUCAACAUUGAAACCCAAUUUUGUUGCUUAGUAUCCCACAUUCUCAAACUAUAUUAUCUGUCCUUAUUGUGAAUAAAAAGUGUUCUUAUUAACACUACAUUCUUGGCUCAGUGCUAAGCUCUGUGGCCCAUUGUCCAGCACUUGACCAGGUCCCCGGCAGGCACUGAGCCAUUUGAUGCAGAGGAAUGCUGAGCAGCGUGAGGCCAGGCAGGCCCAACUGGCCAGGUGACGCCUGGCCAGAUGGUUCCUCCCCCCGGCGCCCCCAGAGGCCACUAUUGAAAACCUGAAAGAGACAAAAAGCCUGUGGAAUCCUCCAAGGGGACCAGAUGCUGCUUAGGGAAAACCUCUCCACACUGUGGCAUCAGGGAACGGGUGGUGCAAGAGAAGCUUCAAGAAUGAUGAACAGAACAAGAAACUGCCUCACUUGACAAUAAAAUAAAUGCCCACCACCUCCUGUUUCCUCGUUAAUGAUUAUUAAAAUGAUCCUGGUACAAGAUUAAUAUUAAAAACUGAUGCUUAGUAAUAAACUUCUCACAGCUAUCUUCAAGAUUUCCAGGGAGUAAUAGCUGAAAGGGAAAACUGAACAAGAGGAGUCUUCCUGUGUGUUGUAGUGCCUGGGUGUGUAUUUCUUUCCACUGCUAGUACUUUUGUUGGCAAAUAGUGCACGCUGUUGGAGCCUAUCCCCCAGACCUUAAGUAGGGGCAGUGGGUCGUGUGGGAUGGAGCCCUAUCAAAUGGGGCUGGACUCUGGUUUUGUCUGCUGUGACCCCGGGGGUGCCCGCUGGGAUCUGUGAGCAGGCAGAGGCCGGUGGGAGCACCCUCCGCCUCCCUUUGUUCCGCCGGGCUCCAGCCUGCAGCAGCUGAUCCGGUUAUUAUGCUCCUGAAAAGAAUUUCUAGGUGGCCACAGUGACCAUAAGGAGCAGAGAAACCACGAGGGCUGCAAGCCACGAAGAGCAACACAUCGGCUAUUGAGCACUAAUCCCACCCAUAAUUAGAGGAUCCCUUCAGCCUUGUGGUGCUCACAGAAAUCUGAACUAAGGCAGAGAGGAGCCGUCUGAGGUCUGUAGGCCACCGUUUACCAAAUGUGCUGUCAUCAGCGCAAUUAGCUUAUUUGGUGGGAUCGGCGUUUUAAAAAGAAAAACAGAAAGCUGUAUAGAACAUAGACUUGGGGCAAAAACUGAAUUUAAGAUGUAGUUAAAGUCACCUUUGAUUUCUCAGCUUCCUUCCCCCACCCCAUUCUUAAAAUCAUGCAUUUUAAUGAAAAUUUGAUCUGCGUGGGUCUGAUUUGUUUACUUGGGACUCAUCCAAAUGCUGUUUUGUAAGAGCGAUUUCAUAUCUAACAGAUUUGCAUAACUUGGGCUAUACUUCUCAGAAAGAAAAACUCAUGUUGGGCCCUAAAUGAACAGAUUUAUCGCUCUGAGACUUGUCCAGGCUUUACGGUGGCAGUUGCUCUCUGCCUACUCUGCUCUCCCUUGUCUUCAUCCCAGGCAUCCCAAGGUUUCUGCUAUACUAAAGAAAAGCUGCGCCCAUCAUCUGAAUCUAACCUUCGUGGGUGCUCAGGAACCUGUCACCUGUUCUAAAAUUCCACCUGCUAUUUUAAUUCACCACAUGCCGCCCGUUGGCUAAGUGGAAGAAAAUGAACAUCUGAUCACAAAGUCACUAAUUAUGUUUAAUUACUGGCUAAAAUAUUAACUUUCAAAAAGGAAGAUAACUUUUGAAAGUGAUAUGAAUUCACCACUGUUGUAAUCUAUUUAAAUUCAUGUGUUACAAAUAAAUUACAAGAGAGAGGAAGA